GACGAACGCUGGCGGCGUGCUUAACACAUGCAAGUCGAACGAAGUGGCGAACGGGUGAGUAACGCGUAAUCAACCUGCCCUUCAGAGGGGGACAACAGUUGGAAACGACUGCUAAUCCCCCAUCCUGAGGAAGGGAUUUCGGUUGGUUAGGCUAGUUGGGGGGGUAACGGCCCACCAAGGCGAUGAUAAGUGGCCGGUCUGAGAGGAUGAACGGCCACAUUGGGACUGAGACACGGCCCAGACUCCUACGGGAGGCAGCAGUGGGGAAUCUUCCGCAAUGGACGAAAGUCUGACGAAGCAACGCCGCGUGAGUGAUGACGGCCUUCGGGUUGUAAAGCUCUGUUAAUCGGGACGCGGUACCGGAAUAGAAAGCCACGGCUAACUACGUGCCAGCAGCCGCGGUAAUUC
rnacentral:rRNA from 1 species